rnacentral:rRNA from 1 species
GACGAACGCUGGCGGCGUGCUUAACACAUGCAAGUCGAGCGGUAAGGCCCUUUCGGGGGUACGACGAGCGGCGAACGGGUAGAGUAACACGUGGGUGACCUGCCCUCAGCUCUGGGAUAAGACCUGGGAAACCGGGUCCAAUAACUGGAUAUGACUCCAUGACGCAUGUUGUGGGGUGGAAAGCCUUGUGCGGCUGAGGAUGGGCCCGCGGCCUAUCAGCUUGUUGGUGGGGUGANGGCCUACCAAGGCGACGACGGGUAGCCGGCCUGAGAGGGCGACCGGCCACACUGGGACUGAGACACGGCCCAGACUCCUACGGGAGGCAGCAGUGGGGAAUCUUGCGCAAUGGGCGAAAGCCUGACGCAGCGACGCCGCGUGAGGGAUGAC